AAACCCUCCUUGGCUCAUAGAGUUAUUUGCUAAAAGAAUCCUGCCCUUUCCUCUCUGGAGCUAGUUUACUAUUGAUGUUGGCUACACAAGCAAUGAUUUGACACCACCCCCUUCUCCACUAAACCAUCUCCCCCCGCCUCACAUGACAAGCCAAAGUCAGACACAGCUGGAAAACUAGGGAGCAAUGAUCUGAAGGAGAAAAUUGCAUGUGAAAAUAUUACAAAAUGCAACAAUAAGAAUGAACUGUUACGCUCUACUUUUAAGAAAAAAAAAAGAGUUGGGGGAACAUAUACCCCAACCAUCCGAAUUGUGGUACAACCAAACAUGUAUUAGCUGGAAUGGAAUUCUGAGAUGCCAAUGAAAGGCUUGUUUAGAAAGCUGAGCACCAAUCUGCAAAUCGGGACCAGCUGGAAGAUUCAAUUUAAAACAGAUCUGGCCAUGGAAAGGGAAAAUCUUAAGCUGCCUCAAAACUGGCUCCAUCAGCCUGGCCGUGGACUUGCAGAAAACACAGGAUG
rnacentral:lncRNA from 1 species